GAUGAAGAACGCAGCGAAAUGCGAUAAGUAAUGUGAAUUGCAGAAUUCAGUGAAUCAUCGAAUCUUUGAACGCACAUUGCGCCCGCUGGAAUUCCAGCGGGCAUGCCUGUUCGAGCGUCAUUUCACCCCUCAAGCCUUGCUUGGUGUUGGAGCACUACCGUUUGUAUAAAGCGGUAGGCUCUGAAAUUCAGUGGCGGGCUCGCUAAGACUCUGAGCGUAGUAGUUUAUCGCCUCGCUUUGGAAGGAUUAGCGGUGCUCUUGCCGUAAAACCCCCCAACUUCUGAAUUUUGACCUCGGAUCAGGUAGGAAUACCCGCUGAACUUAAGCAUAUCAAUAAGCGGAGGA
rnacentral:misc_RNA from 1 species